UGGGGAAUAUUGGACAAUGGGCGAAAGCCUGAUCCAGCCAUGCCGCGUGUGUGAAGAAGGUCUUCGGAUUGUAAAGCACUUUAAGUUGGGAGGAAGGGUUGUAGAUUAAUACUCUGCAAUUUUGACGUUACCGACAGAAUAAGCACCGGCUAACUCUGUGCCAGCAGCCGCGGUAAUACAGAGGGUGCAAGCGUUAAUCGGAAUUACUGGGCGUAAAGCGCGCGUAGGUGGUUUGUUAAGUUGGAUGUGAAAUCCCCGGGCUCAACCCGGGAACUGCAUUCAAAACUGACUGACUAGAGUAUGGUAGAGGGUGGUGGAAUUUCCUGUGUAGCGGUGAAAUGCGUAGAUAUAGGAAGGAACACCAGUGGCGAAGGCGACCACCUGGACUGAUACUGACACUCAUGCACGAAAGCGUGGGGAGCAAACAGGAUUAGAUACCCAGGUAGUCCCUGAGCGGGCUGGCAAGGCGCAU
rnacentral:rRNA from 1 species